ACACGCAGAUCCGUUUGCCGCCCCUGUCCUGUCCGCCUGCACUGCCCGAUUCUGCCGCCUGUCCACGAGGCGAGGGGCGGUAAAAGGCUGGGUGUGUGCCUGUGUGGGGUGUGGGUAGGGGAGGCAGAGAUUGCUGCGCGCGCCCCGGAGCAGAGCGAGUGCUUGCCAGUUGCCAUUACUGUUCGGUGCGGUGAGGUAGUAGAGGGAUAAAGAAAGAAGGGACUGGAAGGAAGGAAGGAGUGAGGGAGAUGCCGGCUUCGCCUCGUAUGGGGAGGGGAUAAGGGAAGGCCGAUGGCAAUGCCGCCGUUUCUCCCUCUUCGCGAAUAGCUAGUACGCGUUCAAAGCAACUGAUUGGCUGUUGAUCAGCAAGAUGGAUGGGAAAGGAUUGUUUGCGGAGAUAGGGAUGAAGGAGGAGGACAUUGCCACAAUGCUGUCUGGGAAGAAAGUUUCCGAGCUGGCAGAGGAUGCGUUUGAUGGUUCCAAGGAAGAAAGACAGAUCUUUGAGGGUGUCUUCUGCCUAACAAACGUUGAUGGUGGAUUGAAUGAUCAUUAUCAUGGAGGCAUUGGACAUACUGUUCAUGCAGGGAAAGUGGUGACAAGUUCUAGAAAACCAUCAAGCUCUGCCGACAAUUACAAGGCAGCACACUGUCGCAUAGUAGAGUCCUUCACUGCUGGCAACUUAUCAAGCUAUCGUGUCUCCUGUCUUGGUGCCGAUGAGCAGGCUCAUGGAGCAAUGCAUUCUCCUGAUGCUGUCCGUUUCAAGCUUGCAGUGCAGUGGACGCCUCCUCGCCCUGAUCGGGUGUACACUCGUAGGGUGGUGACUCGCAGGAGCGAGAGGGCAAGAAUUUGCAGUGCGAUGGAUUUGGAGAGCAUCGACAUUUGCAAUUUCAGUCGUCAGAGGGAUGGUCGUGGCCAUGGACAGCUUUGGAACCAUCUUCGGAUGCAUGCACAUCUUCUGAUGGUGGAUGCCGGGUGGAAGAUUGAGGCCAAGGAAAGAGACAACAGGAGUAAAGUUGAUCAUGUUUAUGUGGCGCCAGACAAUGUGACACGCCUGUAUUCUCUUCCCAGAGCAUGGAAAUGCUUUGGCCAGUGGUUGCUUAUGACAACACCCUGCGUCAAUGGAAAUGAGUCAAUUGACUACGGAAAGGAGUGGUCGAACAUGCAUGAAUUUCUGUAUGAUCUGAAGAACACACUGCUAUGCCUACAGUAUGAGGUCCAACGUACGAAGCCAGCACUAUCUUUCCUCUACCAGUGGCAGCUCCUUGAUCCUUUCAUGGCUGUUGUUUGCAUCGAUAAGAAGGUUGCAGCUCUUAAAGAUGGAGUGGCACUGAAAGCUGUUAACAGCACCGUGACUUGCCUCAAUCGCAGUGAGUGUAAGAUGUUGGAUGCCAAGAAUUCAAAUAGGUCACUUGGGGUCAACUCCACAAGUAAAUAUAUGAAUCCAUAUCUCAGCUCCUGCAAAAAAAGUCUUCUGCCGCUUCUCUCUGAAUCUGAUUAUCAGCCUGAUAAGGAAGGGAAUACUAUGCCUAAUGAAGAAGCUUCUCUAUUUUGUACAAACAAGACUAGCGAAGAUGAAGCUGAUCGGCGGUCAUUGUGUAUGUCAGAAAUGAAUGAAAUAGGCAUAAGAAGCACAGCUCAUCACAUAGUUAUGGGUUUACAUGAUGCAACAGCUUUUCAUGGCUCAAGCCAAACUUGUUCGGGGAGGAAAAGAAAAUUUCCGUGCAUCAAGUCUAAAGAGGAUAAUCAAACUGAAGACAAGUCUGACCCAUUAUUCUUUCCACCCAGCUAUUCAUCCACAUUAAGUCAUCUGGUUGAAAAUGUUCAAAUAAAUGAUGUUAGCCCUCAUGGCUAUGAAACCACGGAGAUUCCAAACAUGGGCAAUCGUACAGAUAUUCUUGAUAAGAUGUACCUAGGAGAGAAUUUAUUGUUUGCCCCCGAAACUGGUAAUAUGCUACUUGAAACUACAGAUGAUAUCAACAAUGAACAGCAUGAUGAUGCAGCUGUCUCUGAGCCCCAAUCGGCAGAUAAUGAUGGAAGUGGACCUUCUGGUGCAUCAUCACUACCACCAGAGAAAGAUGCAUACAUGGGAUCUAAAGAGGAUUCUAUUAACGACUAUCAUGAUCCUUCAGUUGUCUCUGAGUUCCAAAUUGCUAAUAAUGAUGCAAAAUGUGAACCUUCUAUUGCAUUCUUGCCAGAAAAGGAUAAAGAUUUGGAAGCUAAUAAAACGAGCUUGGAAGGUCCAGCAAAAACAGGCCAAUUGUCAUCUGAAGCUAGUGGCAGCACUUUGAUGAUCUCAGAGCCACAAGUAUUGUUUGUGUCCCCACAAGAUGGGACUCUGUCUUUCAUGAACAAUAAUACGAACAACCAAGAGAUGUGGAGGUUCCUGAAUGUUUCCCCUGAUACCAUGGAUACCGAAAUGCAGAUGGACUCUAAUUCAUUGGUUUACGAGGCAAGCUUGAUUCAGGGUUUCUUGUACCUUGACAAUGAGGGUUCUCCAAUUUGUUGGACAGUGAUGAACCCGGAACCUCCUAGGCGCUUGAUAUGUGCUACUGCUCUGGAACCAAACUCAAAGCUGUCGAAACAGUAUGUUGAAAUGAGGUUGGAGAAUGAUGCAUCAACGUCUGAACACAAGAAGGGAGGAAAAUUGUCUGAUAAGGCUGCAGAUAUCCAAGACAAUGUCAGUAGAAAAAAACAGAAAGCAAACAUUGCUUCUUUAAAUAAUUGCGUAAGUAUGGACAAUUUAACUGUCAAUCCUAUUGAUCCUGUAGUUCUCAAUGAGGGAGAGCAGACAGGUACAGCAAUCACUGAGCAGGUUCCUGUUCCUUUGAAUCUAGUGCUUGAGAACAAAAAUGACAAGGACCAAGGUGAGCAAAGCAGUGAAACUUCAGAACAACUUAUGUCCAAAGAACCACAAAAAAGGGACAUCAAAAGGCAAAAGAGAACAUGGUCUCAUACAUGCAAGUUUGAUGAUGAUGACCUUCUGAUGACAGCUGUAAUAUAUAAGCUGACAGCACGUUACAGGAACUCUUUUCAUCGGAAGCUCAGAAAUAAAUUCGGUUUCAGGCGUCUUCCAACAUACCACUGGGAGAAUGAAGAUAAAGGUGACAGGAAGAAGUUUCCUGGAGAAGCAAGGACGGUGUUGAACAAGUUACUUGAAAUGGGCAUUGUUGCUAGAGUGGAUAUUCUUCAAUGUCAUGGUCCAGGAGGCAAAAAUGUGUUGAAGGAUGGGAACAUAACUGCGAGUGGCAUUCAAUGCCAGUGCUGUGGUACCACAUUCACAAUGUCCAAGUUUAAGUGUCAUGCAGGUCUCAGGCAAGAAGUCCCAUCUCUGAAUCUUUUCUUGGAUACAGGCAAAUCUUACAGUCUUUGUCAGCUUCAAGCAUGGUCUAUAGAGCAGAAGGUGAGGAAAGAGCAUGCAAAGGAUACAAUGUCCCUUCAAGCAGACCAAAACGAUGAUACCUGUGGAUCAUGUGGCGAUGGUGGUGAACUGAUAUGCUGUGACAAUUGUCCUGCUAGUUACCAUCAAGCCUGCUUGUCUUGCCAGUUUGCGCAAAGAAAGAGGGACUCCAAGAAUGCCGGUGCUGCUGCCCGCCCACCCCCUCGUGGAUCGAGCUUUUUAAACUUCCCAUGGAUAUUCCAGAUGGCAACUGGUACUGCUCUAGCUGCCUUUGCGACAUUUGUGGUGAAGUAAUCGAUUCAAAGGAGCUUGUAACUUCCCUUCCUGCUUUAGAUUGCUCACAGUGCGAACGCCAAUAUCAUCAACACACACACACACGGGCAGGGCAGACUGCUUUUUAACCAAGCCUAGAUCAAGAUUUGAAUGACCUAAAACUUUUUGACCAUGUAAAAUGUGUAUCUGCCAAAGUUCCGUGCAAUGAGGAUGGAUCUGGUACCUGGUUUUGUGGAAGAAAAUGUCACGAGAUCUAUAUGACCUUCCGUUCUCGUGUUGGAGUGCCUGAUCACAUGGACGAUGAUCUGUGUUUCACCGUUCUUCGUAACAACGGUGAUAAGAAGGUUCGCACGGCAGAGGAGAUUGCUCUCAUGGCUGAAUGCAACAUGAAACUCAUGAUCGCCACGAGUAUCAUGGAAGAGUGUUUCCUGCCUAUUCUAGAUCCCAGGACAGGGAUAGACAUUAUUCCCUCCAUAUUGUAUAACUGGAGGUCUGAUUUACAUUUCAAUUACAAGGGGUUCUAUACAGUAGUCUUGGAAAGUGAUGAUAGCAUGGUAUCUGUUGCCUCCAUAAGGUUGCAUGGUGCAAUUUUAGCAGAGAUGCCUCUGGUAGCAACUUCUAAAGAGAAUCGUCAGCAGGGGAUGUGCAGGCGCCUCAUGGAUUACAUUGAGGAGAUGCUGAAAUCCCUGAAGGUGGAGAUGCUGCUCCUAUCAGCAAUCCCGCACCUGGCGGAGACAUGGACAUCGACAUUUGGGUUCAGAGAGAUAGAUGAGUCGGACAAGAAGAGGCUGAGUAAGGUGAGGCUGGCCGCAGUUCCGGGGACCGUCCUACUGAAGAAGGACCUGCUGUGUGAAUGUUCAGGCGCGGACGCCGGUGAGCCGCCGAGCCCUAAGCCCUUCCAAGUUUACUCGCGCGUGCCGAGAGGCCGCACCGGUUUGGAUGCAGUGUGCCAAUAAAGAUGACGCAGUGGAUCGAAUGCGCCGCGGUCAGUCGUCGUCGUCGGUGACAGGGGGCAGCUGGUGGUCGUCACGGGGCCUCGUCUCCGGUUGCUGAAGCCGAGGCCGAGCACAUCAGCACGCGCCGGUUUGUGUGGUGGAAAUGGAAAGCCUCGUUGCUCUGGUAGGAGCUCUGAAGAUCGCUGUCGUCUGCUUGUAGUCUGUAAAUAGCUUCUCCGUCGGCGAGAAGCCCAGGGUCCACGGCCAUUGUAGAACCGAACCUGUAUGAUAAAACUAGACCGUGUUGGCGCCCCACCAGCGUUUAGUAGUUUCCGUUGCCCUUUGAACUCAAA